GGUGUAUAUCUGGUUUAAUAUUAUUGCUUAGUAGCUUAAUUUGUGUAUGUUUGUUAUUUAAGCCAAGUCUAUGUGCUGCUUGUAAGAGAUUUCAUGCGUUACAUUUAUAAAUUUAGCUAUGUGAUUGAGUUAAUAAAUUAAGGACUUAAAAGUAAUGUAGAAUCAGUUUGUCUAUGUGAAAUGGGUUUAGCUUGGGUACACACCGCCCGUCACA
rnacentral:rRNA from 1 species